rnacentral:rRNA from 1 species
AGUGAACGCUGGCGGUAGGCCUAACACAUGCAAGUCGAACGGCAGCACAGGAGAGCUUGCUCUCUGGGUGGCGAGUGGCGGACGGGUGAGGAAUACAUCGGAAUCUGCCCAGUCGUGGGGGAUAACGUAGGGAAACUUACGCUAAUACCGCAUACGACCUUCGGGUGAAAGAGGGGGAUCGCAAGACCUCUCGCGAUUGGAUGAGCCGAUGUCGGAUUAGCUAGUUGGCGGGGUAAUGGCCCACCAAGGCGACGAUCCGUAGCUGGUCUGAGAGGAUGAUCAGCCACACUGGAACUGAGACACGGUCCAGACUCCUACGGGAGGCAGCAGUGGGGAAUAUUGGACAAUGGGCGCAAGCCUGAUUCAGCCAUACCGCGUGGGUGAAGAAGGCCUUCGGGUUGUAAAGCCCUUUUGUUGGGAAAGAAAUCUUUCAGGCUAAUACCCUGGGAGGAUGACGGUACCCAAAGAAUAAGCACCGGCUAACUUCGUG